CGCGAUUCUUCCCCUCUCGCCCCAGAUCCGCCGCUCCACGCGCACCCGCCACCAUCGCCGCCAUGGACUACCUCCCCCGUUGUGGCCACCGUCGUCCUCACCGGCAGAUACUGCGUUAGGAGCUCCGCCUGCUCCCUCUGCUUCUACUCCGACCACAAGCCCAAGACCUACGCCACUACAUCGAGCGGAUCGAGCUCCUCCCUCUUCUUCUGUCACCGGCGCUUCUCCGACGAAUUGCUCGCCGUCUUCUGCUCCCGUUCCUCGCAGAGCCUUCCUUCUGCUCCACG
rnacentral:rRNA from 1 species